UGCUCCUCAAUCUCAGCAUCAGAGAGACUUACACCCCAUAUACGCACCUGUCAUAAAAACAACAUUGCUCAGCAAUCUUCUAAAAGUGAUAUCGCCAAUAUGAUCAUCAUCUGCAUCUUCCUGCCCACUGUUGGGAUGUUGGGGACAGUUGUCCUUCAAGACAAAAUCAACAUAUUUUAGAGUCUCACCUCUAGGCCAAGUACAGUACUGAUCGCUGCAGAGAAGUGUCAUCUCUGGCCGACCAUCGAGAUCGGUGUCAAUGCCGCAAUAGACUCCAUUGCCCGCCCAGCCGUUGUUGCACUUUCAAAAACAAACAACUGAUGUUAAAGUCACCGGCAGAGAAGAAAGAGCCACAUGACUUCAAAGUUUUUCAUCUGACCCAGCUAGCAUACAAAAAGUACUCUGCAUCAGAAUAUACGUAGAAUGAUAAAUUGGUAAUUUAGCGAUCUAGAGGUAUUAUCAGGCUUCAGUUGUUGGCUAAUCCUUGCCUUCAACAUGUAUCUCCAGGUACCUUGGUUUGAAUCCCACCUAGUGCAUCAUUUUGUCAACUUUAAUCUUGUUUAUUUCUGUGUAGCAUAAGUAUAACAUUUCUCCUAU